UACGGAGGGUGCAAGCGUUAUCCGGAUUUACUGGGUUUAAAGGGUGCGCAGGCGGAUAUGUAAGUCAGUGGUGAAAUCUCCAGGCUUAACCUGGAAAUUGCCGUUGAUACUAUAUAUCUUGAAUGCUGUGGAGUAAGCGGAAUAUGUCAUGUAGCGGUGAAAUGCUUAGAGAUGACAUAGAACACCUAUUGCGAAGGCAGCUUACUACGCAGAUAUUGACGCUCAUGCACAAAGCGUGGGGAUCAAACAGG
rnacentral:rRNA from 1 species